rnacentral:sRNA from 19 species
GUAAGCAACCCCCGGAUUCAAUCCGGGGGCUUCAGCAAGUGUUGAAGCCCUAGCUUACCAGACUAAGUACUUCGUGUACUACGUUCAGAACAAGUGUUGAAGUUCCUACCUACAAAUGCGUAGCUAGUUUGUAGCUCUAGA